UUUCCUGUAACUCAGUCAGUAGAGCUUUGCACUGGCAAAGCAAACGUUCUGGGUUCAAAACCCAAGGGAAAAA